rnacentral:rRNA from 1 species
AACGCUGGCGGCGUGCCUAAUACAUGCAAGUCGAGCGAACAGACGAGGAGCUUGCUCCUUUGACGUUAGCGGCGGACGGGUGAGUAACACGUAGGUAACCUACCUAUAAGACUGGGAUAACUUCGGGAAACCGGAGCUAAUACCGGAUAAUAUUUCGAACCGCAUGGUUCGAUAGUGAAAGAUGGCUUUGCUAUCACUUAUAGAUGGACCUGCGCCGUAUUAGCUAGUUGGUAAGGUAACGGCUUACCAAGGCAACGAUACGUAGCCGACCUGAGAGGGUGAUCGGCCACACUGGAACUGAGACACGGUCCAGACUCCUACGGGAGGCAGCAGUAGGGAAUCUUCCGCAAUGGGCGAAAGCCUGACGGAGCAACGCCGCGUGAGUGAUGAAGGUCUUCGGAUCGUAAAACUCUGUUAUUAGGGAAGAACAAACGUGUAAGUAACUGUGCACGUCUUGACGGUACCUAAUCAGAAAGCCACGGCUAACUACGUGCCAGCAGCCGCGGUAAUACGUAGGUGGCAAGCGUUAUCCGGAAUUAUUGGGCGUAAAGCGCGCGUAGGCGGUUUUUUAAGUCUGAUGUGAAAGCCCACGGCUCAACCGUGGAGGGUCAUUGGAAACUGGAAAACUUGAGUGCAGAAGAGGAAAGUGGAAUUCCAUGUGUAGCGGUGAAAUGCGCAGAGAUAUGGAGGAACACCAGUGGCGAAGGCGACUUUCUGGUCUGUAACUGACGCUGAUGUGCGAAAGCGUGGGGAUCAAAC